UCGAGCGAAUGGAUUAAGAGCUUGCUCUUAUGAAGUUAGCGGCGGACGGGUGAGUAACACGUGGGUAACCUGCCCAUAAGACUGGGAUAACUCCGGGAAACCGGGGCUAAUACCGGAUAACAUUUUGAACCGCAUGGUUCGAAAUUGAAAGGCGGCUUCGGCUGUCACUUAUGGAUGGACCCGCGUCGCAUUAGCUAGUUGGUGAGGUAACGGCUCACCAAGGCAACGAUGCGUAGCCGACCUGAGAGGGUGAUCGGCCACACUGGGACUGAGACACGGCCCAGACUCCUACGGGAGGCAGCAGUUUGUAAUCUUCCGCAAUGGACGAAAGUCUGACGGAGCAACGCCGCGUGAGUGAUGAAGGCUUUCGGGUCGUAAAACUCUGUUGUUAGGGAAGAACAAGUGCUAGUUGAAUAAGCUGGCACCUUGACGGUACCUAACCAGAAAGCCACGGCUAACUACGUGCCAGCAGCCGCGGUAAUACGUAGGUGGCAAGCGUUAUCCGGAAUUAUUGGGCGUAAAGCGCGCGCAGGUGGUUUCUUAAGUCUGAUGUGAAAGCCCACGGCUCAACCGUGGAGGGUCAUUGGAAACUGGGAGACUUGAGUGCAGAAGAGGAAAGUGGAAUUCCAUGUGUAGCGAUGAAAUGCGUACAGAUAUGGAGGAACACCAGUGGCGAAGGCUACUUUCUAGUCUGUAACUGACACUGA
rnacentral:rRNA from 1 species